rnacentral:rRNA from 1 species
ACGCUCGACACCUACGGGAGGCAGCAGUGGGGAAUAUUGCACAAUGGGGGAAACCCUGAUGCAGCGACGCCGCGUGAGUGAAGAAGUAUUUCGGUAUGUAAAGCUCUAUCAGCAGGAANAAAUGACGGUACCUGACUAAGAAGCCCCGGCUAACUACGUGCCACAGCCGCGGUAAUCUGAGCGGGCUGGCAAGGC